rnacentral:rRNA from 1 species
CGGGACACGUGGUAUCCUGUCUGAAUAUGGGGGGACCAUCCUCCAAGGCUAAAUACUCCUGACUGACCGAUAGUGAACCAGUACCGUGAGGGAAAGGCGAAAAGAACCCCGGCGAGGGGAGUGAAAAAGAACCUGAAACCGUGUACGUACAAGCAGUGGGAGCACGCUUAGGCGUGUGACUGCGUACCUUUUGUAUAAUGGGUCAGCGACUUAUAUUCUGUAGCAAGGUUAACCGAAUAGGGGAGCCGAAGGGAAACCGAGUCUUAACUGGGCGUUAAGUUGCAGGGUAUAGACCCGAAACCCGGUGAUCUAGCCAUGGGCAGGUUGAAGGUUGGGUAACACUAACUGGAGGACCGAACCGACUAAUGUUGAAAAAUUAGCGGAUGACUUGUGGCUGGGGGUGAAAGGCCAAUCAAACCGGGAGAUAGCUGGUUCUCCCCGAAAGCUAUUUAGGUAGCGCCUCGUGAAUUCAUCUCCGGGGGUAGAGCACUGUUUCGGCAAGGGGGUCAUCCCGACUUACCAACCCGAUGCAAACUGCGAAUACCGGAGAAUGUUAUCACGGGAGACACACGGCGGGUGCUAACGUCCGUCGUGAAGAGGGAAACAACCCAGACCGCCAGCUAAGGUCCCAAAGUCAUGGUUAAGUGGGAAACGAUGUGGGAAGGCCCAGACAGCCAGGAUGUUGGCUUAGAAGCAGCCAUCAUUUAAAGAAAGCGUAAUAGCUCACUGGUCGAGUCGGCCUGCGCGGAAGAUGUAACGGGGCUAAACCAUGCACCGAAGCUGCGGCAGCGACGCUUAUGCGUUGUUGGGUAGGGGAGCGUUCUGUAAGCCUGUGAAGGUGUGCUGUGAGGCAUGCUGGAGGUAUCAGAAGUGCGAAUGCUGACAUAAGUAACGAUAAAGCGGGUGAAAAGCCCGCUCGCCGGAAGACCAAGGGUUCCUGUCCAACGUUAAUCGGGGCAGGGUGAGUCGACCCCUAAGGCGAGGCCGAAAGGCGUAGUCGAUGGGAAACAGGUUAAUAUUCCUGUACUUGGUGUUACUGCGAAGGGGGGACGGAGAAGGCUAUGUUGGCCGGGCGACGGUUGUCCCGGUUUAAGCGUGUAGGCUGGUUUUCCAGGCAAAUCCGGAAAAUCAAGGCUGAGGCGUGAUGACGAGGCACUACGGUGCUGAAGCAACAAAUGCCCUGCUUCCAGGAAAAGCCUCUAAGCAUCAGGUAACAUCAAAUCGUACCCCAAACCGACACAGGUGGUCAGGUAGAGAAUACCAAGGCGCUUGAGAGAACUCGGGUGAAGGAACUAGGCAAAAUGGUGCCGUAACUUCGGGAGAAGGCACGCUGAUAUGUAGGUGAAGUCCCUCGCGGAUGGAGCUGAAAUCAGUCGAAGAUACCAGCUGGCUGCAACUGUUUAUUAAAAACACAGCACUGUGCAAACACGAAAGUGGACGUAUACGGUGUGACGCCUGCCCGGUGC